rnacentral:lncRNA from 1 species
UCCAAAAUAGACACUAUCCGUCUCAGCCUCACCUCGACCACUCUCUCCCAAAUCUUCAUAGAGUGACUCAAUAACUUAAUACCCCUAUAGUUAUUCCAACUCUGAAUGUCACCCUUAUUCUUAUAAAGAGGGAUCAUAGUACUCCACCUCCAAGCCUCGGGCAUUUUCGCCGUCUUGAAAAUUCCAUUAAAUAAUCCAGUCAAC